UACGUAGGGUCCGAGCGUUGUCCGGAAUUAUUGGGCGUAAAGAGCGCGUAGGCGGUCGUUCAAGUCGAGUGUGAAAGCCCCCGGCUCAACUGGGGAGGGUCACUCGAUACUGAUCGACUUGAAGGCAGGAGAGGGAAGCGGAAUUCCCGGUGUAGUGGUGAAAUGCGUAGAUAUCGGGAGGAACACCAGUGGCGAAGGCGGCUUCCUGGCCUGUUCUUGACGCUGAGGCGCGAAAGCUAGGGGAGCAAACGGG
rnacentral:rRNA from 1 species